GGGGGGGGGGGGGGGGGGGGGGGGGGGGGGGGGGGCGGGGGGGGGGGCCGGGCGGUGGGGGGGUGGGCGGGGGGCGGGCGGGGGAGUAACACGUGAGGAACCUGCCCUUGACUUUGGGAUGACUUCAGGGAACUGGGGCUAGUACGGGAUAGGAGCUCCUGCUGCAGGGUGGGGGUUGGAAAGUUUCGGCGGGUGGGGAUGGACUCGCGGCUUAUCAGCUUGUUGGUGGGGUAGUGGCUUACCAAGGCUUUGACGGGUAGCCGGCCUGAGAGGGUGACCGGCCACAUUGGGACUGAGAUACGGCCCAGACUCCUACGGGAGGCAGCAGUGGGGAAUAUUGCACAAUGGGCGGAAGCCUGAUGCAGCAACGCCGCGUGCGGGAUGACGGCCUUCGGGUUGUAAACCGCUUUCGCCUGUGACGAAGCGUGAGUGACGGUAAUGGGUAAAGAAGCACCGGCUAACUACGUG
rnacentral:rRNA from 1 species